rnacentral:rRNA from 1 species
CCUACGGGAGGCAGCAGUGGGGAAUAUUGCGCAAUGGGCGAAAGCCUGACGCAGCGACGCCGCGUGAGGGAUGAAGGUCUUCGGAUUGUAAACCUCUUUCAGCAGGGACGAAGCGAAAGUGACGGUACCUGAAGAAGAAGCACCGGCUAACUACGUGCCAGCAGCCGCGGUAAUACGUAGGGUGCAAGCGUUGUCCGGAUUUAUUGGGCGUAAAGAGCUCGUAGGCGGUUAGACACGUCGGAUGUGAAAACUGGGGGCUCAACCCCCAGCCUGCAUUCGAUACGGUCUGACUAGAGUGUGGUAGGGGUAACUGGAAUUCCUGGUGUAGCGGUGAAAUGCGCAGAUAUCAGGAGGAACACCGGAUGGCGAAGGCAGGUUACUGGGCCACCACUGACGCUGAGGAGCGAAAGCGUGGGGAGCAAACAGGAUUAGAUACCCUGGUAGUCCACGCCGUAAACGGUGGGCGCUAGAUGUGGGGACCAUUCCAUGGUUUCUGCGUCGCAGCUAACGCAUUAAGCGCCCCGCCUGGGGAUACGGUCGCAGACUAAACUCAAGGAUUGACGG